UACGUAGGGUGCGAGCGUUGUCCGGAAUUAUUGGGCGUAAAGAGCUCGUAGGCGGUUCGUCGCGUCGAAUGUGAAAACCCGGGGCUCAACUCCGGGCCUGCAUUCGAUACGGGCGGACUAGAGUUCGGUAGGGGAGACUGGAAUUCCUGGUGUAGCGGUGAAAUGCGCAGAUAUCAGGAGGAACACCGGUGGCGAAGGCGGGUCUCUGGGCCGACACUGACACUGAGAGACGAAAGCUAGGGGAGCGAAUGGG
rnacentral:rRNA from 1 species